rnacentral:misc_RNA from 1 species
GAUGAAGAACGUAGCGAAAUGCGAUACGUAAUGUGAAUUGCAAAUUCAGUGAAUCAUCGAGUCUUUGAACGCACAUUGCGCCCCCUGGUAUUCCGGGGGGCAUGCCUGUCCGAGCGUCAUUGCUGCCCUCAAGCACGGCUUGUGUGUUGGGCCCCGUCCUCCGAUCCCGGGGGACGGGCCCGAAAGGCAGCGGCGGCACCGCGUCCGGUCCUCGAGCGUAUGGGGCCUUGUCACCCGCUCUGUAGGCCCGGCCGGCGCUUGCCGAUCAACCCAAAUUUUUAUCCAGGUUGACCUCGGAUCAGGUAGGGAUACCCGCUGAACUUAAGCAUAUCAAUAAGCGGAGGA